CCUACGGGUGGCAGCAGUGAGGAAUAUUGGUCAAUGGACGAGAGUCUGAACCAGCCAAGUAGCGUGAAGGAUGACUGCCCUAUGGGUUGUAAACUUCUUUUAUAUGGGAAUAAAACGUUCCACGUGUGGGAUUUUGUAUGUACCAUAUGAAUAAGGAUCGGCUAAAUCCGUGCCAGCAGCCGCGGUAAUACGGAGGAUCCGAGCGUUAUCCGGAUUUAUUGGGUUUAAAGGGAGCGUAGGUGGAUUGUUAAGUCAGUUGUGAAAGUUUGCGGCUCAACCGUAAAAUUGCAGUUGAAACUGGCAGUCUUGAGUACAGUAGAGGUGGGCGGAAUUCGUGGUGUAGCGGUGAAAUGCUUAGAUAUCACGAAGAACUCCGAUUGCGAAGGCAGUUCACUGGACUGCAACUGACACUGAGGCUCGAAAGUGUGGGUAUCAAACAGGAUUAGAUACCCUUGUAGUC
rnacentral:rRNA from 1 species